rnacentral:rRNA from 1 species
UAGGGAAUAUUGGACAAUGGGUGAGAGCCUGAUCCAGCCAUGCCGCGUGCAGGAAGAAGGCGUUAUGCGUUGUAAACUGCUUUUUGUCAGGGGAUAAAAAGACCGUGCGCGGUUAAUUGAAGGUACCUGGUGAAUAAGCCACGGCUAACUACGUGCCAGCAGCCGCGGUAAUACGUAGGUGGCAAGCGUUGUCCGGAUUUAUUGGGUUUAAAGGGUGCGUAGGUGGCCCUGUAAGUCAGUGGUGAAAUAUCUCAGCUUAACUGAGAGGGUGCCAUUGAUACUGCAGGGCUUGAGUACAGAUGAGGUAGGCGGAAUUGACGGUGUAGCGGUGAAAUGCAUAGAUAUCGUCAAGAACACCGAUAGCGAAGGCAGCUUACCAAGCUGUAACUGACACUGAGGCACGAAAGUGUGGGGAUCAAACAGGAUUAGAUACCCGCGUAGUCCCUGAGCGGGCUGGCAAGGCGCAU